rnacentral:lncRNA from 1 species
GCUUGUUUUCCUCGUGACUGUAAAGAGGCAUUUAAUCAAAGUAAUACAUGCAGUGGAGUAUAUACUAUUAAACCUGAUGAAUUACCAGCUUUUAAGGUUUACUGUGAUAUGAGUAAUGGAGGUGGCUGGACUGUAUUUCAAAGAAGAAUGGAUGGCACUGUUAACUUCUAUCUCAAAUGGGCCGACUAUGUUAAAGGAUUCGGAGACCUCAAUGGAGAGUUUUAGCUGGGACUUAAUAAUAUAUACCGGCUGACAAAAAGCAGCACUAGCCUUCGUAUUGACUUGGAAGAUUUUGAAGAGAAUAAGAGGUAUGCCACUUAUACUAGCUUUGAAGUAGGAAAUGCAGCCACGCAGUACCUACUGACUGUAUCAGGUUAUGGAGGUAAUGCUGGUGAUGGUAUGGCAUAUCACAAUGGAAUGAAGUUCACAACAUAUGAUUACGACAAUGACACUGGCACAGGAAAUUGUGGACUUAUCUGUAGUGGAGCAUGGUGGUACAAAUAUUGUCAUACCGCUAAUCUCAAUGGUUUAUAUUUAGUGGGUAGUCACACUUCAUAUGCUAAUGGUGUCAACUGAUAUCCUUUUAAGGGGUUCUACUAUUAAGGUUUACUGUGAUAUGAGUAAUGGAGGUGGCUGGACUGUAUGUCAAAGAAGAAUUGACAGCACUGAUCUCAAAUGGGCUGACUAUGUUCAAGGAUUUGGAUGUUUAAAGAGAGUUUGGCUCGGACUUAAUUAAACUUACAAGAAGCAGCACUAGCUGUUGUAUCAUUAAAGGAGCAAAAUGAGUCCCAGUGAUUCAGUACUUGCAGAGUAUAUUAAGAGGACACACUGUAAGAGACGAGUGUUUCACACCUAAGAGAAAAUACAGAGAUGAAACGAGCUCUCAAAACUACAAAUAGUAUUCUCUCUGGACAUUAUGUUAGAAUGAACUUGCGACAAAAAUGAAU